AAAAUAUAGGCUCCAUCGACGCGUCCGUUUCACCCUUCCAAACUCCUUCCCCUUCGCUCUCUCUCUGCCUUCUCUCGUCCUCUCCCUGGACUCAUUUUAGCAGCUUCUCUGUCGAAUUGGUUAUUACAUAGCAAUGGCAGCACAGUGCCUUACUGCCUGCCCUUGCUUUCUCAGAUAGUCUCAAGCCCCAACUCAUUCCCUCUCGCAUAGUCACACACGCACCCUCACGCUCUGUCCUUUCCUGCCUACUGGUCUUCUCUCAGAUAGAUGCGAUUUUUUUCCUUCUUUUUGUUUAGAGUUUUCAUAUGAAUUGUUACUAGAGUUUUCAUAUGAAAUGGUAUUCUUCAAUGCUCUGUGGGAAACACAGGCACACAGCCACUCGAGUGGCAUUGUCGUUGAAGUCUCGACAUUCAUCUGAACAUGAGGGAAAAUUUUCUUAGGAAGUGUUCAAUUUACUUAUCUCUAUCAUGGUUUAACAAUUUGGCUUCCUCAAUUCCAGUUAUUUCUCUUCGUUGCGUGCUGCAUUUUGUGUGCUCUUUUUUUUGGUUACUGCGUGUGCUUGUUUUAAUAAAGGUAUUUUACUCUAAUAUCAUUUAUGGGUGAUUUUGAAAUUUUAUUCUAAUGUAGAAAAAUGAUUGAUGGUGUCAUAGCUUGAUAUUUUUAGUUACUUUCAUCUCUAGUUUAGUUGUCUUAUUAUUAUUAUUAU
rnacentral:misc_RNA from 1 species